UCAAGAGUUAGACGCUUAACUGAUUGAGCCACCUAGGAGCCCCCAACUGAGAUGAUAUUUAUUUAUGUAUGUAUGUGUGUAUGUAUGUAUGUAUGUAUGUUUAUUUAUUUUAGAGAGACAGAGUGCAAGCAGGGGAGGGACAGAGAGAGAGGAAGACAGAGAAUCUGAAGCUGGCUCCAGGCUCUGAGCUGUCAGCAUAGAGCCUGAUGCCGGGCUCAAACUCACGAACCAUGAUAUCAUGAUCUGAGCUGAAGUCAGAUGCUCACCUGACUGAGCCACGUAGGUGCCCUGAUAUAAUAUUUAAAUGAGACUUUGGACCUUAGACUUUGGAGCUGAUGCUAGAAUGAGUUAAGACUUAUGGGGCCAUUGAGAUGGAAUGAAUGUGUUUUGCAUGCGAAAAGGACAUGACUUUUGAGGGACUAGGGGUGGAAUGUAAUGCACUAUAUAUUUGUGUGUCCCCUGAUUCAUAUGUUGAAGCCUUAACCUCCAGUGUGAUGGUAUUUGGAGUUGUGGCCAUUGAGAGGCAUGUAGGUUAGAUGAAGUCAUAAGGGUGGGGAAUUUAUGAUACGAUUAGUGCCUUUAUAAAAAGGAGAAGGAGAUCUCCUCUUUCUCUCUCUGAUGAGCACAGUGGAAAGGCCAUGUGAAGAUGUAGCUCAUGGCAGCUGUCUGAAACUCAAGGAGAGAGGGCUCUCACCAUGCAUUUACCCCGCUGGCACCUUGAUUGUGGUUGCCAGCCUCCAGACUGUGACAUUAAGUUCCUGUUAAGCCAUCCAGUCUAUGUAUUUUGUUAUGGCAGCUUGAGCUGACUGAGAUACCUGGUUGCCUCAGUGGGGAAGGAACAGAAUGAGAACGAAGGUAGGUAUGAGAUGGGAGAAUGUUGAAGGCAAAACUACUAUCUUGAGUCUCUUCAGAGCUAGUUGUGCCUUGGAGCAUGGAGAUUUUAGAUUCAGGCAACCGUGUGAGUUUAUCAAGAUGGCAGUCCCUCUUUCCAGUUCUCCUCAUCAUAAGUUGACCAGGCAUGGGAGGGAUGCCCUUGCAGAGAGUCUGGUGCUAGUCAUUAAACAUGGCAACUGAAGGAUUACCUGUUCAUAUUAUCUCCCAGGAGACCAAAAAUCAAUCAAGUGCAUAUGUAUUUGAAAUUCCUUGACAGAAAACAAUCAUGUUCUUAGAUCCAAAUUCUUGGGUUGUUAGUGUACCAUAAAGUAUUUGGAGUUACUGCAACUAUGCAUGUUUACUUCUACUGAUGAUUGCUCCAUUUGUUCUUGAUGCUGGAGGGUGAGGUGCGGGGAGAGAAAGAUGAUCACACGUUUGCAUAGAGAAAAAAAAUUCCAACUACACAUCUAUUUUCCAUAGACAUACUUUCCAGCAAAUGUUUAGGGUCGAAAGUUGUAUUUGUCUCUGGGAAAUGCUAUUGAUUUGAACGAGUACCUCAAAGGGGAAGUUUCAGACAUCACGUCACCAUGUUUUGUUGAAUUAUAAACUAACAAGGUAGCAGAUCUGACAGAGAUUUCCUUUUGUGAGCUCCCUGACAGUACAGGUGGCAGUUUGGCCCUUGUAUUCUAGCUCUCCCUUAUCUUUGCAGGCUUGCCCUCUCCUAAUGCUCUCUGCCUCCCCCUCCUGACCCUCCACAGCCCCCUUACUGCAGCCAUAUCGAACGACUUACUCCCCAUGCUCAGAACACUGGGGUCCUUUGAAGGGCCCAUGCUUUGCACAUGGAUUUCCUUGGCCUAGAAGUUCUUCCUGCCUUUUUGUUUGGCACAAUUCCUUCAACCUGCAAAUACCCCAUGACAUUUUAUGAGCCAUAAGAAAGCUUAGAAAUAACAUCACACUGGCCAGAAGUUGCUGUUAGAAACAAAUCUUUGGAGAAUCUAAUUUGGCUUUCUUCCUGGAUCUUUUCUUUAGAUAGAUAAGAUACCAUUUCAGUUUUUAAGUGAACUUGGCAGAAAAACACACAUGAAAGCAUUUUGUAACAGCAGAUUCCCUGAGGAUGACUGACCUCAAGGACUCUUGGUCUAUUGUGUGAAGCACAGGCAAAGAGUCAGGAACUUCUGAGUUCUGCUGCGCAGACCUGAGCAGUUGUCUAUGUAAGCUACAGUGUGAUCCUCAGGAUGUGCAUUUCCUGCCCCAGCUGGGGAAGCCUGAGUGUGAUGCUGGCAAGGGAAACAGAGAAGAGAAAAGAACGCCCAUCACUUGUGCUAUUAUUAUCUACCCCUGGGUGAAACUGAGUAGUGAGAUCAAAGUGCUUUGUUUGUUCAACUAGUUUAUUUUUUAGUGAAGUGCUUGUUUGUUUUGUUUUGAGGUAGUUCUUUUGGAGGGAUUAAUGGCAAAGCAGAGUGGAAAUUCCUUGUUUCUUCCAUGUAAUCCUAUAAUAACUACAAGUUUGUUAUUGUCUUUUGGUUCCCAUAAAGAGGUUUGUAUUUGUGUGUGUGUGUGUGUGUGUGUGUGUGUGUGUGUGUGUGUGUGUGUUUAUCGGGAUGUGGGAAGACAGGAAGCUGAAUAUCGAGGAAUCGAACCUUGGGAAAUUAAGAGAAGGAAAAUAGGCCCUGCUGUGGCAGAGAGGAAAUAAAGGGAACCAAAUACAGCAGGUCCUGGGGAAAAGGACAAAAAACUCACAAAACAUAGUGGGGAGAACACCUAAGGGCAUGUAACAUAGUCAAUCAUAAGAAGUCAGAGCUGAGUUGGAUCUUGAAGAAUAUUGAAUUCAUCCUCUUUAUCUCAAAGAUGAAGGACCUGAAGUCCAGGGAAGCUGUGUGAAUUAACUCACUGGUUAAGGUGAGAGCUAAGACCAGCAUCUGGGUCUCCAGUCUCAUGAAGUGCAUGCCUGUGUGUGGUUGGUGAAGGUCAGAGAGAGAGAGUGCUCCAAGCCAAAGACAGGACAGUGAUGUGAUUUUCCUAUUCAUUAUUGUUAAAGAAUAUUUCCAAGUGGCAAAAUCCUGCCUCUGAUACAAAUAUAAAAUGAACAUGCAUCAUGGAUUUUAUUUAACUUAUUGGUUUAUUUUUUUAUUUUUAAAAUGUUUAUUUAUUUUUGAGAGAGAGAUAGAGACAGAGUGCCUAGAGGGGGAGGGGCAGAGAGAGAGAAGGAGAAACAGAAUCCUAAGCAGGCUCCAGGCUCUGGGCUGUCAGCACAGAGCCCGACGUGGGGCUCGAACUCACCAACAGCUAGAUCAUGACCUGAGCUGAAGCUGGAUGCUUAACUGACUGAACCACUCAGGCCCCCAUAACUUAAUAAUUGUUAAGGGCACCAGUAAGAUGUUACUGGUUGAAAAACUCUAAGGUACCAUACACAUAUCGGCAGAUAAAAAAUAAUGAAAUGAAUUGACAAAUAAAUAUGAUAUGGCAUAGAUUUUCACUCAUUAAGUACUGGGGGAACUUGAUGAGAAGUUAUAACUGGUUGAAAGGUGAAUUCAAAGUACCACACAAUUAUAUAAGAAAGUGGGAAUGCAUUCUUUCUGACUUAACUGAUUUGUAUUUGUAUGGAGAAGAAUCUUUGGUAUUAUUUCCAGCUUUCUACAAAUUACUGAGUUGUAAAAUAGCUCAAAAAUGAUAAAAGGCAGAGAUAGCUGGGAAGAGUACAUUAAAGAGGACACUCAAGGGGCACCUGGGUGGUUCAGUCAAUUAAGUGUCAGACCCUUGAUUUUGGCUCAGGUCAUGAUCUCACAAUUCGUGAGCUCUGUGGUGAUGGUGCAGAACCUGCUUGGGAUUCUCUUCUCCCUCUCUCUUUUUGCCCCUCCCUGCUCAUGCUCGCUCUCUCUCUCUCUCUCUCUCUCUCUCUCGAUAAACAAAGAAACAAACAUUUUAAAGAGUACACUCAAUAAUCUUUUUUUUUUCCAUUCCAAAGUCUUGCAACAGUUAUUCCCAACAAGAAUACAUCAUUGGAACUAAGGGAGAUGUUCCCUCACCUCUUUUGUCUUGCAACAUCAUUAGCAGCGAUAAAACCAGGCUGAGAAAAGGGGAGGAAUCAAGCAAUACAACCAAGGUCCUGCUGUAGGCACCUCUGGUCAGAGUGCUACUCCUGCCACUGCCUCUGCUGGACACUGCUGCUUGUCUAGAUUUGCUAGACACCCCAUCUGGCUGUGUAACCCUGCCUUUUUGGACUACACCCUCAAGGUUCAAAGUCUGGGUGUAGGCAUCAAGUUGACCCAGGCCCCAUGCUCUUCCUCCAACUGCUGUGGGCUAGGGAGAAGGAACUGUCUGGACAUUUGGUUUCAUUAUGGCAAGCCAAGAUUCACACAUUGGGGAUUUCCCUCCAAGUAGGAAGGAUAUGUGAUAUGUUGGGUAGUAAAAAAAAAGGCAAAUAUUUACCGAAAAUACUAUGCUAGGGAUACACAAAACAAUUGGAGAAUAUUGAAGAUUUUUCUGGAGAAACAAUGUAAUAAAGUGGAAAGAGUCAAAGCUUUUCACCCAGGUGGAUAUACCUAGGUCUAUGCCAGCCUCCAUCAUCUACUAGCUAAGUUGUGGGAAAGUUACAAACCACUCUGAGCCCCAGUUAUCUCACUUAGACACUAUUACUAUCAUGUCACUAUUACUAUCAUUAUUUUUACGACCUUCUCUUCUGCGUUUGCCUUGCUAAAAACUGAGCCCCAGCCCCACUGAUUUUCUUGCUGUUCUUUGAACAUGCAAACAUCCAUCUGCUUUAGGCCAUUUGCACUUACUGAUUCCAAUGCCUGAAAAAUGUCCCCCAUAUGUCUUGUUCCCUCACUUCCUUCAUUCAGCUCUAUUAUCAAAUGUUACCUUGGUUUUGGUAAUGUCUUCUCUGACAACCCUACCAAAAAUUAUGAUCCCUUCCAGUUGUACUGCCUCUGUCUCCUCCCUGCUUUAUUUUUCUCCAUAACAUUUGUUACUUGUCUAUCUUCCUUCUCUAAACUGUAAGAUCCAUAAGAGCAGGAAAUCAGGUCUAUUUUUACAAAGCUGUAUCCCUAGCACCCUGAAUAAUAUCUGGCACAUAAAAAGUUCUCGAUAAUAUCUGUUGGAUGAAUAAUUGAUUACCAAGUGUCUGGAGUACAGUAGGCACCAAAUAAAUGCUAGUUAUUGCUAUUUUUUUUUUAUCAGACUCUUCUUUCUCUUCCCAUUUUCUGGCCAAUCACUUCUAGCCUAACUUAUUUUCCCAGAGAACUUCUGAUCUAGUAAUAAAAUUUUACCAGUCCAGGCACUUAAUCUCCAUAUUUCUCAGACGAUCAACAUAAGACAACUGGAAUAGUACAAUAUUCAUUUUAGCAAUGACUUUUGGGAGUUCAUGUUUAUUCUACUCCUUUGUUCUUUAAUGUAUAUGAACUAUGGUGAUGGCACCAAAUGAUUUAUGUUGACAUCUGGGCAAAAGCUCAUAAAAUUUCCUUGAAUGUGCAUUUUGAGAUACCUGAGAAACACAACAUCUGAACAUUAGGAAAGGUACUGUAUUAGGAUUCUUCAGGGGAUUAGAACCAAUAAGGUAUUCAUUUAUUCAUUGAUUAGUUUAUUUAUUAUUGGAAAUUGACUCACAUGAUCAUAAAGACUGGAAAGUCCUAAGAUUUGCAGGAUAAACUGACAAGCUAGAGACUCAGGAAAGCCAAUAGUUUAGUUCUAGUGUGAGUCUAUAUGCCAGAGAACCAGCAGAUUCAUUGGUAUGGUUCUAAUCUGAAGGCUAGCAUAUUGGAGACACAGGAAAGCUGAUAUUUCAGUUUGAGUUCAAAGGCAGGGAAAAAAAAUUGAUAUCUCAGUUUGAACUGUCAGGAAGGAAUUCUUCUCUUACUUGGGUGAAGGUUAGUAUUUCGUUUUAUUGAGAUCUUCAACUAAUUAGAUGGGGCCCACCCACACUAGGGAGGAUAAUCUGCUUCUUUCAAGUAUGUCAAUUUAAAUGUUAAUCUCACCUAAAACUCUCUCACUGAAAUACCCAGAAUAAUGUUUAACCAAAUAGCUGGGCACCCUGUGGCCCAGUCAAGCUGACAUAUAAAAUUAACCAUAGUUACUCUAUCUUUUGUAUAUGUCAUUAAUUCUUUAAUGUCAUUGUAUAGUGUUAUAAAGAAACAGUGGGCAACAACAAUAUCUUGAGUAAAAACAGGUGUAGGUCAGCAACCUUGUAUAGGUCAAUCCCAUUUAGUGUUUGUGUGAGCCUCUUAGUGUUGAACUUGGCAUAGAGAGACCAUGAGCAAAAUACAAGUAAGAUUGCAGUAAGUUCCAUGGGGGCCUGCAUUCUAAUCAUUAACUAGGGAACCGAUCUUUAGCAAUUUAUUUAACUUUUUGGAAUUUGCUUUCCUCUUCUGAAAAUGAGGGGGUUGGACUAGAUGAUUUUUAAAAAAUCAUGUUCAGCUCCAGGAUCUUGGGUUUUAAUGAAAGAAUGUAAGGGAGGCCCUGUGUGUUAGCUACCAGCAUUGUGCAUACGGGCACAUCUUUGGAGUUAUGUACACAGUGUCAUCUAUGUUUGCAAUUGAACGACAAAAAUAAUUUGGCUUGGCUUUUAUUUGUUCUCUGUUGGCUAAAAAUAAACAAAGUUUAUUCUGGGAAA